AUGAUGCACAGCGCGGCAACAGUGGCCGCCCUCUUCUUCACUUCCAUCUCCUCUCCUUUCCUUGGACAAGCUAUGACAAGAGAAGAGGAAGGGAACUGCUGUGGGAGUUUUCAGGUGACUGGUGGCUCUCUUACUCAGUCAGAGUGUGUGGCCUCUUACAUAUUGGAGUUCCAAGGGCAAUAUCAACAUUUGACCUGGUUAAUAUUUAGUGUAACACAACAAAGUAUUUCAGUAUUUUCUAGCACAUCAAAUGAUCCACAAUUUCAGGUUUGGUUGUUUUGUAGCCAGUUUUGCCAUGUUAUCGGUUUCCUGAACAAGAUGGUGCCCACUGCCAAUUACGAGCCCCUAGUGGAGCACCUGAAAAUAACCUUGGAUCUUAAACCGAUUAGACAAGCGCAUGCUACUCAUCUUUCUAUUUUCUUUGUGAAGAGGCCUGUGCUGAUGUAG
rnacentral:rRNA from 1 species